CUGUAUGAGGAUUCACAGUCAGAGCAGUAAAUUAGCUUUUUAAUUGUGGCAUGUGGUAGGACUACAUAAAAACGAAAAACCCCUGAAAUAAGUCUCUCUUUUUCAACAUCUGAAUGCAGAAGCACUCCAAAGGUGCAGCAAAAGACCAUUGCUCUGUGCAGUGGAACAUCACAACCAACAACACUGAGCUUUGUCUGGGUUCUUGGAGCCAGGGAGCUUGGAUGUAAAACCAGAAAAACAGAGGAGAAUCUCCAAAAGCUGCGGAAAAUUAUCAAGUAGAAGAAAAUUACACCACUCAAAAAAUAUGAAGGUAAUGUUCCAGCAGUGGUUUGGACUGGUGUAACUCAAAAGCACUUCAGAAAACAAUAUUAGAGGGCACAACAAAUCCAGCGUGCUUAUGCUUACACAGGUAUUUGCUGGGAACUAUCUCUGAAUGCAAGUAAAGCUCUCAUCAUUUAUUGUUUGCUCUUCACAGCCUCCUGUACUCAAACCUGGCACAAAAGGAUGCUCAGGGAAAUAGCUGCUGAGUAAUUUCAAGCCAGUAUCAAACCUUUCCUCAGCUAUUCAAAAGCACACAGUGAGAGAGGACUCUGUGACCUGCUACUUUUUGAGGAAGAUGGAAAAAUGUCAAUAUAGGUUUUAAGACUGAGAGGUGUGCUAUCACAGCCUGUGGACACACCACUGUAUGUGACCAUGUGAACAACUCCUCACUCUUCUUCUCCCUUCCUUACACUCUGUGACAGAAGCCUGCAGUUUCCACUAGGCAAGGAAAAAGUAUUUGCAUGUGCCAGGAGAAAUUCUACAUCCACGCCCAUGAUGCCUUUUCUGGACUAUUUGAGGAUAUAACAUUGACAACAACUCAACUGACUUGCUGUAAUUAAUAAUCAAAAAGUACAUUUCAGCAUCAUAAAGCAGAUGAUACCAUUCUUCUAAAAAGCACUAUAAAUUAAAAUUAUGUUUAACAAUUCUUCAGCAACACUGACAACAAUUAGAUUUCCAUAAAGUAAAGGUAGAAAAAUUACCAAUAGCGAAUUAUCCUAUGAGAAGAGCAGCUUGUUGGACAAAGUACCAAAGGAAAGUAAUACUCGGAUAAAAUCUUGAUCCAGUUGUUUACACUGAUAAUUACGAAUUAAAAUUUGCUUUAUAUACACUGUGAUAGGUAGGGACCUCAAGAAAAGGGACAAGCCAUGGCAGGCAAGACAGAGCAAAUGGAUGGUUCCUACCCCCACAUUUCCAGAACUGUUUCAGAAAGCUGUUAGUAUUCCCAGCCAUCCCAGACUAACACUCUUCCUGGCCUAUUGUCCAAGGUGAUCCAAAACCUGAGCUGAUUUCUCAUAAUACACCACUCUGCAGGAGGUCAGGUAUUGAUAUCACAAGCCUAUCAAAGAGGACACACCAAGGCACCUCAGAACAACAGGACAGAUUACAGUGGCAGCAAACAGCUUCAGUUAUCCGACUUUUCCAACCAGCAGCAAAAGCUUGCCAAAAUAUUAAGAAGAUGAACACAAGGACAGAACUAGGUAUUGAACACUCUGAAAGAUAAAUGCCUUAAAAUAAUAAGUGUUAACACCACCAAGCUUUUCAUAAGCCUGUUUCAUAGUGGUACCACAGAAAGGAAAGUUGCAGCUUCUUGAAAACACAACCACCAAGGUGGGCCAGAUUUUGUUUCCCUUUAAGCCAGUGAUACACCCUGCUCUGACACAGAGCAGUAACAAACACAGCCAUGCCAGCCCCACAGCCAGAACACAACCCAGAAUCUGUGAAACUGGAGCUUCUCCCUGUGAGCAGCACCAGGCACACACACUGUGGGACGCUCACUGUGCUCACCUUCCUCCCACAUUGCCAAUGUUUUUAGGGAAGUUGGCCAGGGAGCUGGGCUGGAGUGUUACCUGCAUCAUACUGCUGUUCUCCAUUCAUCUCCACAGGAGCCCAGGGGCUGUUCCCAGCAGCCAGAAGCAGGGGGGUCCGAGGCUGUCACUGUUUGGUGGUCAUGAGUCGCCUCCCGCCUUCCACAGCAGCCGGGACAUUCAGGAGGGGAUCCUGGAAAACACCUGAAAGGAACAACUGCUUCACAGGAAUGUGUCUGGAAUGGAACCCAGCUGCCAAUUUCUGCUAUAUGCCUCUAACCUGCUCCACUCCAGCUCAGAAAUCUGUGCUCAGCAUGUAACUACAAGGUCACACGUUAACUCCCAACCCAGCUCUGCCUCUGUGAGAAAGGCACUGAGAAAUUAAGCACAGGCUCCACUCUCACUCUCCACUGGCUGCUCACAGUUGUUCCAGGCUCAGAGGACAGGGCAGAGCAGGGUUAGGUAACUCAAGCACAUGUUCCCAGACUGUCCUCUCCCUACACAGACUGAGCUUCCAUCUAUUCCAUCUUUUAUAAAGUGAUGCUGGAAGAGGCUGUCACUGGCACGAUGCUCAGCACACAGAGAAAAACUAACCAACAAAACAUUUUUUAAUCAUUAAUCAAAACAUGUCUUGGUAAUGGCCUAUCCCAAGUCUAUCAGCUGUCAAAGUGCUAAGCCAAAACAAAGGCAAUGCUGUGAGCAAAGCACAUAUUCCACAAGUCUGAGGAUAUGCCACUGCUUUAGAAUAGUGUAGCCCUGGCAAAGCAUACUCAGAAUUAAUUGCAAUUAAGCUAUUUUCAGUUUAUGGGAUGCAGUUCUCAAUUAGCUUCUAUAACUAAACUAUGUGACGCAACUACACUCUUUUUUCCCCUUUAUGCAACAUGAGAAUAUUUAGGACAUUACCCUCCCCACCAAAACCCCAAAACAAACCCACAAAACCAAACCCCAAGCACCAAAGAGGCUGUUGAUUUAGAAGAUGCCAAACACUGGCAGCUCCUGUUGAAGCUGAUUGAUAUUCUGCCCAAGUCAAGUUGGGUUGUUAUUCAGGAUUUCAUAAGCAGUUGUGGUGUUGUAUGUACACAAAAUUGAGAGCACUUGUAAUUAGCACCCACCAUGGCUGCUGCUUACAGUCUGGCACCCCAAAGAUUAUCUUUUGAUAAAUCUCGAGGGAAGUGGAGCACAAGUGCUGCUGGAACAGAGCUGCUUUGGAAAUACUUUGGACUCUUCAGUCUCACUUCUGCAUUUCAAAUCUCCUUUCAGCACAUGAAAUAUUCAGAUGUUAGCAACUGGAGGCAGCAUUAAAAACAGUUACAGUUCAUUAAAGCCAGAUGGCUCACUUGAAUAUGAAAAGAAAUCAAACAUAAGUUGGCUGUUGAAUUAAAGUAAAUCAGCUGGUGUCUGAGGCUUAAUAUCAUUUUAAAACAAAGGCGCACGAGACAAUGGGGACAGGAGCCACCCCUCAGGACCGAGCUCCGGCAAGGAUCGGGUUUCAGCGAAUUCCUCCAUGCCCAGGCACCCAGUAAAAUCUAUUUCA